rfam:Bacteroidetes bacterium GWF2_40_14 gwf2_scaffold_284, whole genome shotgun sequence.
CAAAUUGUGGAAAGAUUUGACUGCUUGCAACCACGUGAAAAAAUGCUAAAAAUGCAUAG